UACGGAGGGUGCGAGCGUUGUCCGGAAUCAUUGGGCGUAAAGGGCGCGUAGGUGGCCCGGUCAGCGUGCGGUGAAAGCUCGGGGCUCAACCCCGAGUCGGCCGUGCGAACUGCUGGGCUUGAGCACUGUAGAGGCAGGCGGAAUUCCGGGUGUAGCGGUGGAAUGCGUAGAGAUCCGGAAGAACACCGGUGGCGAAGGCGGCAUUCUGGACCGAAACUGACGCUGAUGCGCGAAAGCCAGGGGAGCAAACGGG
rnacentral:rRNA from 1 species